UUAAAUUAAUUGGGAACCGGAAUGAGAUGCCUUAUUUCCAGCCCCCACCAUUACAUAUUCGGGUUUUGAAAAUGUGUGAUCAGCUCAGGGUGAUCACCUGGGAUGUGAAAGAGGGAGUGGCUAAACCACUCAUUACAAAGUUGGCAGCCAUCACUGAUGGGGAGAUGGUACUAAAAAUAACAAAGUUAAAUGAAUUCUCAAAAGUCCAAGAGGGGGUCACGUAUAUGAUUGGGGGUAUGAACUGAGAGGCCCAGCUACUCCUUAUGUGAUAAAUAUCACUGCGGACCCAGAUUUUCAGAGCACCUGCCCUUACAGUUGCAGAAAAUCCUUUUGCAAAAGUGGGGGAUCUUCUGCAUCCUCCUGCCCCUGUAAUGAGUCUGAAGAUGAGCUCAACCACAGGGGGGUUAUGACAGUACAAGGGGAGGUCGUGGAGUGAGGAAGAUGCUCUCAGGGAAACAAGAAGUUCCCAUAAGAAAUCUGCAGCUAAAGCAGGAUGGUUACACCGUGGAGCGUGGCAGCUAUUGAGCAGUGUCAUGUGGGAGACCAAAUAAAGGUUUCUCAUGUAAAGGUGAAACAGUCUACCUAUGGAGUAGAGCUGCACACAACAUCUUUAACAAAGAUUGGGACAAAAGAAGAAGACCGACUGAGGUGCCUGUAUUGGCAUUGCCAGUGCUGACAUGUCCAACCAGAUGGAGCUACUGUUAGAAAGUGGAGAAACCCUGCAUAUUGAAACAGAUGUGGAGGCCAUUUGAUAAAGAUCUGGAAAAGGCCAUGGUUAGUGUUUAGAUAAAAGUCAAAGGCAAGCAUAUUACUGAAAUAGAAAACAACAGAUUGUCAGUAGUGAAAGAAAAGCAUUUGUGAUUUGUGUGUGUUGUUAAGUGUUCUGUAAAUGUAAAUCUACGGUAAUGAUAGAUCACACAUUACAAAAAGUUUACAACGGUUUGAAAAAGUUAUAGUUUA